GUGGGGAAUAUUGGUCAAUGGGCGAGAGCCUGAACCAGCCAAGUAGCGUGCAGGAAGACGGCCCUAUGGGUUGUAAACUGCUUUUAUGCGGGGAUAAAGUGGGCUACGUGUAGUCCUUUGCAGGUACCGCAUGAAUAAGGACCGGCUAAUUCCGUGCCAGCAGCCGCGGUAAUACGGAAGGUCCGGGCGUUAUCCGGAUUUAUUGGGUUUAAAGGGAGCGCAGGCUGAUGAUUAAGCGUGACGUGAAAUGUAGCCGCUCAACGGCUGAACUGCGUCGCGAACUGGUUAUCUUGAGUGAGUUCGAUGUUGGCGGAAUUCGUGGUGUAGCGGUGAAAUGCUUAGAUAUCACGAAGAACUCCGAUUGCGAAGGCAGCCAACAAGGCCUUUACUGACGCUAAAGCUCGAAGGUGCGGGUAUCGAACAGG
rnacentral:rRNA from 1 species